UACGUAGGGUGCAAGCGUUAAUCGGAAUUACUGGGCGUAAAGCGUGCGCAGGCGGUGAUGUAAGACAGGUGUGAGAUCCCCGGGCUUAACCUGGGAACUGCAUUUGUGACUGCAUCGCUGGAGUGCGGCAGAGGGGGAUGGAAUUCCGCGUGUAGCAGUGAAAUGCGUAGAUAUGCGGAGGAACACCGAUGGCGAAGGCAAUCCCCUGGGCCUGCACUGACGCUCAUGCACGAAAGCGUGGGGAGCAAACAGG
rnacentral:rRNA from 1 species